CCUACGGGGGGCAGCAGUGAGGAAUAUUGGUCAAUGGGCGCAGGCCUGAACCAGCCAAGUCGCGUGAGGGAAGAAUGCCCUAUGGGUUGUAAACCGCUUUUAUAAGGGAAGAAGAAUGACUACGUGUAGGCAGAUGCCCGUACCGUAUGAAUAAGCAUGGGCUAACGCCGUGCCAGCAGCCGCGGUAAUACGGAGGAUGCGAGCGUUAUCCGGAUUUAUGGGGUUUAAAGGGGGCGUAGGCGGUAUUUUAAGUUAGUGGUAAAACGUCGGGGCUUCACCUUGAUUGGCCAUUCAAACUGGAGUACUAGCGUACAGACGAGGUCGGCGGAAUUCGUUCCGUAGCGGUGAACUGCUUCGAUAUCACUUAGAACCCCGAUAGC
rnacentral:rRNA from 1 species